rnacentral:lncRNA from 1 species
CUAAAUUUCUUCAAACUCGAAAGCAGGUUCAGAAACAAUAUUAUACAAUUUUGAGAUUUCACACAAAUAUGCAGUAGAUGUGGUGGUCCUUCUGGUUAUCCACACACACAUUGAGAUAUUAAAACUAAAAAUAUUUAAAAUCAUAAACUGAAACUUUCCUUAUUUCUUACAAUUAUCAGAAGUUCAAAUUUACGUUCCUUAGAAACGUAAGUUUGUUAUCACCAUCCUGCUCAUCACUUAAUGCUGCAGCGAGAAAUGCAAUGGCCGGUGGCCGGUGGUUGAACUCCGGUGGAAACACUUCUUUUCGUGGCGGAGGGAGGUGGAAUAGAGGUGGAGAAACCACGAAGUUUCAUAUCCGAUUUCUGGAACCGUUCCAAGUCGCCUGGAAGCCUCGUGUAAGAAGCAGAAGGCGAUUCAGUAACCCGUGUUGCCGUGAGUCCUUGUCCACCAUUUUUGUACUGUACAAUUGCUCUAUAAACAAAUGGAAUAAGGCCCUCCAUUUUCUUGAUCAGAGAAAGAGAGGGUUGUGUGAAAAAAUUUGCAGUGGAAUGGGGUGGGCUUAGACUUGAUUAAAAGGUAGAUUUGUGGGGUAGGUGUGGUAACGUGUUGGAGUUAAGCUCAUUGGGACAAAAUUAACAAAGAGAGAAAAUGUGAUUUUAC